rnacentral:rRNA from 1 species
AGUCGAGCGGUAGCACAGGGGAGCUUGCUCCCUGGGUGACCAGCGGCGGACGGGUGAGUAAUGUCUGGGAAACUGCCUGAUGGAGGGGGAUAACUACUGGAAACGGUAGCUAAUACCGCAUAACGUCGCAAGACCAAAGAGGGGGACCUUCGGGCCUCUUGCCAUCGGAUGUGCCCAGAUGGGAUUAGCUAGUAGGUGGGGUAACGGCUCACCUAGGCGACGAUCCCUAGCUGGUCUGAGAGGAUGACCAGCCACACUGGAACUGAGACACGGUCCAGACUCCUACGGGAGGCAGCAGUGGGGAAUAUUGCACAAUGGGCGCAAGCCUGAUGCACCAUGCCGCGUGUGUGAAGAAGCCUUC